AGCGAACGCUGGCGGCAGGCUUAACACAUGCAAGUCGAGCGGGCGUAGCAAUACGUCAGCGGCAGACGGGUGAGUAACGCGUGGGAACGUACCUUUUGGUUCGGAACAACACAGGGAAACUUGUGCUAAUACCGGAUAAGUCCUUACGGGGAAAGAUUUAUCGCCGAAAGAUCGGCCCGCGUCUGAUUAGCUAGUUGGUGAGGUAACGGCUCACCAAGGCGACGAUCAGUAGCUGGUCUGAGAGGAUGAUCAGCCACAUUGGGACUGAGACACGGCCCAAACUCCUACGGGAGGCAGCAGUGGGGAAUAUUGGACAAUGGGGGCAACCCUGAUCCAGCCAUGCCGCGUGAGUGAUGAAGGCCCUAGGGUUGUAAAGCUCUUUUGUGCGGGAAGAUAAUGACGGUACCGCAAGAAUAAGCCCCAGCUAACUUCGUG
rnacentral:rRNA from 1 species